rnacentral:rRNA from 1 species
UACGUAGGGGGCAAGCGUUGUCCGGAAUCAUUGGGCGUAAAGCGCGUGUAGGCGGCUUGGUAAGUCUGCUCUGAAAGCCCGGGGCUCAACCCCGGGGAGGCGGGUGGAUACUGUCAAGCUCGAGUCCGGAAGAGGAGUGUGGAAUUCCUGGUGUAGCGGUGAAAUGCGUAGAGAUCUGGAGGAACACCGAUGGCGAAGGCAGCCUUCUGGGCCAACACUGACGCUCAUGCACGAAAGCGUGGGGAGCAAACAGG